GGGGUAGUAAAGGUUUCGACAGGGAACUUGAAGAUGGAGAAGCAGGUCGCAGGUAUGCGUCAAUUCCAAAAUUAAAAUUAAACGCUGAAGAUAAUUUAGCAUUUGCAGCCUAAUGGCUGCUGUCUGACCUAGUGCACCUACACAUUAGGAUCCAGGCAUCGAUUAUGUGGGAAACGACACAUACAAAGCUUUGCGUAUGUGGGCGUAUUAUGAAGCUACUGACUGUUUAGGGGAGUUGAUUCGCCUAUGCAGAAGGGAAAUGGGCUCUGCCCGAAACAAUCAACUAAACCUGUAGAAGUACAUGGGAUGGUUUUUUGGACACGGGUUCGACUCCCGUCUACUCCACUA
rnacentral:tmRNA from 1 species